CAGUAGCCGCGGUAAUACGAAGGGUGCAAGCGUUACUCGGAAUUACUGGGCGUAAAGCGUGCGUAGGCGGUUUGUUAAGUCUGUUGUGAAAUCCCCGGGCUCAACCUGGGAAUGGCAAUGGAUACUGGCAAGCUAGAGUGUGUCAGAGGAUGGUGGAAUUCCCGGUGUAGCGGUGAAAUGCGUAGAGAUCGGGAGGAACAUCAGUGGCGAAAGCGGCCAUCUGGGACAACACUGACGCUGAGGCACGAAAGCGUGGGGAGCAAACAGGAUUAGAUACCCCGGUAGUCCCUGUCUCUUAUAC
rnacentral:rRNA from 1 species